GUCCAAAUUCUCUCCUGAUUUGACUAAUCAGAGUCUGGUCUGCUGUAACUGCCUCCAAAGCCGUUGCAGCCUGAGGACCAUGAGACUUGACGGGCCUAAUGACAUCCUGCAUAUUCUAAACUUAUUCUUGGACACUGUUUACCUCUACAGGGAGCUGUAAAGGCCUUGGGCUGCCGUCAUUCUCCUCAGCUGUUUCUUUUGAGACUCCUGCUGGAUUCUUCCUGUUACCAAACCCUGGACUCAUUCCUGACACAGUCCUGGAUUUCCCUUUGGCAUAUCUUUGGAUCUCUGAUCUUCUGGCACAGACUCCUGAGCAUCUCCUCAACACCGGCUUUGACGGUGUCCCAUUUUGUCAGCAGCCGACCGCCUGAAACCAACCUCAUCCUCUGGGCACGGACUGAACUGUUAAACCAGCAUUGUCUGCGAGUUUGCCAAAAGAAAGUAUCCGGCCAGAAGUUAACACUGUUUGGGAGGCAGUGGAAUGGGAAAGGAUGGGAACGACUGUGCUUGCAAGGAGUACCUCUGACUGCUGCUGCAAAGGAAUACCAAAUCUACUGUUUGCUGGAAAAAGAUGAGAUCAAACCAGUCACAGAAAGAGAUUUCAAGUAAGACCUAAUUAAAAACUAAUCCAACCCUCCACGCCUACUGGCAGCACUUUAUUUGUUG